AAAACAUUUUGGGAGAUUCUCUUGGUUUUUGGAGUGACAAUACAAAUGCUUCUUCUUUUUCUGUUUCAACUUAUGAAAAUUUUUCUUAUUCGAAGUUACGUUCUCUGAUAAGGAUUUUGGGCGAAGAUCCCUGCAAGUUAUUUGGUGUGUACAUGCAAUUUGACAAUAUAUAUUUUGUAGAGCGAAGAAGAAAGGAUUAGAAAAUGAGACAGUGUGGAUAUGCGGAAAAAUAAUACUCCCUUCGUCCAAAUAAUUAAGACACACUUUUCUUAUUGGGUUGUCCCAAUAAUAAGGACACACUUUUAAAAAUAGAAAAAAUUAGACUUAAAUUAAACUUAAUCUAUUAAUCCUUAAUCUGGGUAUGAAAGUUAAAAAUUUAUUGGGUUCUCCUUUCGACUGCAUAGCAGCGGUGAGGCCGUUGGCUUCGCUUCGCUCGACGGAAUCAGCCGCCUCAUCUCCUUCGUUCUCCCCCUCCCCCUCGCCGAUGGACUCAUAGCAAGGAGCAUGCCAUCGCUGCUGCCCUCCUCCUGCCCCAGAGCUGAAAAAAUAACGGAUCUCUGACGAGGUGUGGCCUCGCCGGCGACUGGAGUAUUCAGGAGACGCGGUGGAUCUGGUUCUGGAGGCUAGGGUUUGUAGGGCGUCAGCGCCAUCGCUCGAGAUACGUGUGCGUCUGUGAAGAGAGGGAGCAGAGGUGAAGGGAAAAGGGGGUGGCGGGGACAGUGACGAUGGCUCGCCGAAUCCGCGCCGGGGAAGAAAUGCGUCACCUGCGCCGCUGGUUUGAGUGUGUGUCUUGAGCGAGAGAGAGAGAGAGAGAGAGGGAUUAGUGGGAGAGGGGUUUGUAGAGAGCGAUUUCUGGGUUUGAUUUUGGGCAGCGUAGCAGAUGGAAGAAGAAGCGUGGUGGUCGGCGAUGGUGGGCGGCAGUGAUUCCACCGAGUAGAUUUGAGAGAGAAGAUGAUAGAGAGAGUUGAGAGUUAAAACAAUUUAAAACUUAUACUAAACUAUCUAAUAUAAUUAUCCUAAAUUCUCGUGCCCAAAUGAAGUGUUUCUUCAUUAUUGGGACGGAAGAAGUAUAUAUACAUUCUAAUAUAAAGAAAUAUGCAUAUUUUGUGUUGCUCACGGACCGCAAACUAUCAAUUUCAGACCUGAGUUAUGUUUCAUCGGAAAAGUGAACCGUAA